rnacentral:rRNA from 1 species
UGGCGGACGGGGUGAGUAACGCGUGGGCAACCUGCCCUGUACCGGGGGACAACAGCCAGAAAUGGCUGCUAAUACCGCAUAAGCCUGCUGUGCCGCAUGGCACAGCAGGGAAAACCACGGUGGUACAGGAUGGGCCCGCGUCUGAUUAGUUAGUUGGCAGGGUAACGGCCUACCAAGACAACGAUCAGUAGCCGGCUUGAGAGAGUGGACGGCCACAUUGGGACUGAGACACGGCCCAGACUCCUGCGGGAGGCAGCAGUGGGGAAUAUUGCACAAUGGGGGGAACCCUGAUGCAGCAAUGCCGCGUGGGUGAAGAAGCACUCCGGUGCGUAAAGCCCUGUCAGCAGGGAAGAAAAUGACAGUACCUGACCAAGAAGCCCCGGCUAACUACGUGCCAGCAGCCGCGGUAAUACGUAGGGGGCAAGCGUUAUCCGGAUUUACUGGGUGUAAAGGGAGCGCAGGCGGCGUGGCAAGUCAGAUGUGAAAACCCGGGGCCCAACCCCGGGAGUGCAUUUGAAACUGCCAUGCUGGAGUGCCGGAGAGGUAAGUGGAAUUCCUAGUGUAGCGGUGAAAUGCGUAGAUAUUAGGAGGAACACCAGUGGCGGAGGCGGCUUACUGGACGGUAACUGACGCUGAGGCUCGAAAGCGUGGGGAGCGAACAGGAUUAGAUACCCUGGUAGUCCACGCCGUAAACGAUGUAUACCAGGUGUGGGGCAUCAAGGAAUGGCCGGUGCCUUUGCAUACGCCAUUAGGUAUACCACCUGGGGGAGUACGUUCGCGAGGGAUGAAACUCAAAGGAAUUGACGGGGACCCGCACAAGCGGUGGAGCAUGUGGUUUAAUCCGAAGCAACGCGAAGAACCUUACCAGCCCUUGACAUCCUGCUGGCAGCCCGGUAACGCGGGCUUUCCUACGGGACAGCAGAGACAGGUGGUGCAUGGUUGUCGUCAGCUCGUGUCGUGAGAUGUUGGGUUAAGUCCCGCAACGAGCGCAACCCCUGCUUACAGUAGCCAGCAGCAAGGCUGGGCACUCUGUAAGGACUGCCGGGGAUAACCCGGAGGAAGGCGGGGACGACGUCAAAUCAUCAUGCCCCUUAUGGGCUGGGCUACACACGUGCUACAAUGGCGCCAACAGAGUGAGGCAAACCUGCGAGGGGGAGCAAAGCACAAAAAAGGCGUCCCUGUUCGGAU